GAUGAACGCUGACAGAAUGCUUAACACAUGCAAGUCAACUUGAAUUUGGGUUUUUAACUUAGAUUUGGGUGGCGGACGGGUGAGUAACGCGUAAAGAACUUGCCUCACAGCUAGGGACAACAUUUAGAAAUGAAUGCUAAUACCUGAUAUUAUGAUUUUAAGGCAUCUUAGAAUUAUGAAAGCUAUAAGCACUGUGAGAGAGCUUUGCGUCCCAUUAGCUAGUUGGAGAGGUAACAGCUCACCAAGGCGAUGAUGGGUAGCCGGCCUGAGAGGGUGAACGGCCACAAGGGGACUGAGACACGGCCCUUACUCCUACGGGAGGCAGCAGUGGGGAAUAUUGGACAAUGGACCGAGAGUCUGAUCCAGCAAUUCUGUGUGCACGAUGAAGUUUUUCGGAAUGUAAAGUGCUUUCAGUUGGGAAGAAAAAAAUGACGGUACCAACAGAAGAAGUGACGGCUAAAUACGUGCCAGCAGCCGCGGUAAUACGUAUGUCACGAGCGUUAUCCGGAUUUAUUGGGCGUAAAGCGCGUCUAGGUGGUUAUGUAAGUCUGAUGUGAAAAUGCAGGGCUCAACUCUGUAUUGCGUUGGAAACUGUAUAACUAGAGUACUGGAGAGGUAAGCGGAACUACAAGUGUAGAGGUGAAAUUCGUAGAUAUUUGUAGGAAUGCCGAUGGGGAAGCCAGCUUACUGGACAGAUACUGACGCUAAAGCGCGAAAGCGUGGGUAGCAAAAAAG
rnacentral:rRNA from 1 species